rnacentral:tRNA from 1 species
ACGGUUGAAAGGCCGUCUGUAUCUGUCUGGCUAUGUCGGCUUAAAAAUUUGUCUGUGGAACAGGAGGUCGGUGGUUCGAGCCCACCCAACUGUACCA